AUGGUGUUCAUUGACUUGGAGAAGGUCUAUGAUAAGAUAUCGCGGAAUGUCAUGUGGUGGGCCUUGGAGAAACAUAAAGUCCCAGCAAAGUACAACAUGCACGAUAAUGUUGUGACAAGUGUUCGAACAAGUGAUGUCGACACUGAUGACUUCAUCAUAACCCCUGAUGAGGUCACAAGGGAUAUACAAGGAGAUAUCUCAUGGUGUAUAUUGUUUGCGGAUGAUGUGGUGCUAGUUGACGAUAGUCAGACUGGGGUAAAUAGAAAGUUAGAGUUAUGGAGACAAACCUUGGAAUCGAAAGGGUGUAAGCUUAGUAGAACUAAAACUGAGUACAUGAUGUGCGGUUUCAGUACUACUAAGUGUGAGGAGGAGGAGGUUAGCCUUGAUUGGCAGGUAGUGCCUUAG
rnacentral:rRNA from 1 species